UACGUAGGCAGCAAGCGUUGUUCGGAAUUACUGGGCGUAAAGAGUGUGUAGGCGGUGUUCCAAGUCUGGUGUGAAAUCUCCCGGCUUAACUGGGAGGGUGCAUUAGAAACUGGAAUGCUAGAGGAUGGGAGAGGUAAGCGGAAUUCCUGGUGUAGCGGUGAAAUGCGUAGAUAUCAGGAGGAACACCUGUGGUGUAGACAGCUUACUGGACCAUUCUGACGCUGAGACACGAAAGCGUGGGUAGCAAACAGG
rnacentral:rRNA from 1 species